rnacentral:rRNA from 1 species
UCGGUCCUCCAACCCCUGUGAAUACCAAUUGUUGCCUCGGCGGAUCAGCCCGCUCCCGGUAAAACGGGACGGCCCGCCAGAGGACCCCUAAACUCUGUUUCUAUAUGUAACUUCUGAGUAAAACCAUAAAUAAAUCAAAACUUUCAACAACGGAUCUCUUGGUUCUGGCAUCGAUGAAGAACGCAGCAAAAUGCGAUAAGUAAUGUGAAUUGCAGAAUUCAGUGAAUCAUCGAAUCUUUGAACGCACAUUGCGCCCGCCAGUAUUCUGGCGGGCAUGCCUGUUCGAGCGUCAUUUCAACCCUCAAGCCCCCGGGUUUGGUGUUGGGGAUCGGCGAGCCCUUGCGGCAAGCCGGCCCCGAAAUCUAGUGGCGGUCUCGCUGCAGCUUCCAUUGCGUAGUAGUAAAACCCUCGCAACUGGUACGCGGCGCGGCCAAGCCGUUAAACCCCCAACUUCUGAAUGUUGACCUCGGAUCAGGUAGGAAUACCCGCUGAACUUAAGCAUAUC